GACGAACGCUGGCGGCGUGCUUAACACAUGCAAGUCGAACGCUGAAGCCCUGCUUUUGUUGGGUGGAUGAGUGGCGAACGGGUGAGUAACACGUGAGUAACCUGCCUCCUUCUUUGGGAUAACUCCAGGAAACGGGGGCUAAUACUGGAUAUUCGCUGGUCCUCGCAUGGGGGUGGGUGGAAAGGGUGUUUCUGGGGGGUGAUGGGCUCGCGGCCUAUCAGCUUGUUGGUGGGGUGAUGGGUUAGGAAGUCUUUGACUGGUCGUCGGCCGGGGAGGGUGCCCGGUAACAUGGGCACUGAGAUACGGCCCAGACUACGACGGGGGGCAGCAGUGGGGAAAAUUGCACGAUGGGUGCAAGCAUGAUGCAGCGACGGCGCGGGAGGGAUGGAGGCCGUCGGGUUGUGAACCUCUUUCGCUAAUGGUCAAGCCGCAACAAUGGUUGUGGUGACGGUAGUGGGUAAAGAAGCGCCGGCUAACUACGUG
rnacentral:rRNA from 1 species